rnacentral:rRNA from 1 species
GACGAACGCUGGCGGCGUGCUUAACACAUGCAAGUCGAACGGAAAGGCCCUGCUUUUGUGGGGUGCUCGAGUGGCGAACGGGUGAGUAACACGUGAGUAACCUGCCCUUGACUUUGGGAUAACUUCAGGAAACUGGGGCUAAUACCGGAUAGGAGCUCCUGCUGCAUGGUGGGGGUUGGAAAGUUUCGGCGGUUGGGGAUGGACUCGCGGCUUAUCAGCUUGUUGGUGGGGUAGUGGCUUACCAAGGCUUUGACGGGUAGCCGGCCUGAGAGGGUGACCGGCCACAUUGGGCCUGAGAUACGGCCCAGCCUCCUACGGGAGGCAGCGGUGGGGAAUAUUGCACAAUGGGCGGAAGCCUGAUGCAGCAACGCCGCGUGCGGGAUGACGGCCUUCGGGUUGUAAACCGCUUUCGCCUGUGACGAAGCGUGAGUGACGGUAAUGGGUAAAGAAGCACCGGCUAACUACGUG